CCUUCCCUUCCCUUCCCUUCCCUUCCCUUCCCUUCCCUUCACCCUUUUCUUCUCCCUUCUCCCUUUUCUUUUCCCUUCCCUUCCCUGUUGGUGCCAGACAGCACGCAGCAGAUGAUCCCUGGAGGGGUAUGCUCAGCACACACAAACAUGAUGUUUACUGGCUCUGGGAUGGAUCAGGGAGGGAUUUAGAGACUCCAAGCUUGGCUGUGCGGCUCAGAGAUCACCCUGCAACAGCUCUUCACGAGGCUUCUUGGUGGGAAGAGCUCUGCGUAGGUUGGAGGAACUCCAGCUUGGGUAAAACAACACCUGUUCUUGGUGACCUGCUCAAAGCCGUUUCCCAGGGAUGCCAGCAGGGGUAGCUGGGGUUUGGGUUCAGCUGCAGCAUGCGACUGGUGUGAAACUGCACAGCAAAUCCCCAGGCGUGGGGCUCUUGUUCCUGUCAGCCCCUUGCCUCUGGCUUCAUUUUCCCUUGCAGCCCUUUGGCACUCACAUUGCAGCAGAGGGGAAGAUGCUUUUGCAGCCAGGAGCCAGCUCAUCCCUGAGACCGCAGGGAGCCGCAGCCGCAGAUUGAAACCGCAGCUCACCAGCAAAUGCAAAACAAUGUGCAAACAUGUUUUAAUGUCAGGUUUUUAUUAAAAGUGGACUAAGAGAUUAAGAUGUUCAUCUGCCUUGCAGGGAGCGACUUUAUAAAUCUCAGCUUGCGUGCUCUUGCCAAGCGUUGCUAAUCAGCAGGCUGGAUCCACGUCACGUGUGCACAGUCUGCUUCCUCGUGAAGGCUCUCUUUCUCCAGGCAAUGGGAGAUGGGGCUCAGUGAGACCUCCUGGGGUUUAAUGAGGUUCCCACUGACACAGAGUUAUUGGGUUCUUAUUCCCCCUUUAAGCAUUCUGCUCUACAGGCCUGCUGCAUGUUGGUGUCUCUGCUUUGAGGACUCUGUGUGGAGCAUCACUGGGUCAGCAGGGACCCAUGUCUGGCAUGGGAUCCCCUAUUGGACUCGUUAGAAGGUACUUUGAAUGCCACAGGGGUGGCAGUGAUCACUGCAAAGACCUUUGAAAGCAACUGGCAUGUUAAAAACUCUCUGCCACGCUGAACUGCAGUGGUGGCAGUGAUUUAGGAGCACUGGAAAAUCUUGUCCUCGACCUCUUAAGCUUGUCAUAGCCAUAGGAUUGGAGCAGCUUUGGCGAGAGAUGAUUUGGUUCCUGGUUUUUUUUUCCCCUUCUUCUCUGCUUGUUUUAUGCUCCUAUAAGCAUUCAUCCAGAAAUUCCCCUUUGCUGUGCUGGAUUGAUGGCUCUGGGACAAUCAGCAGUAUUCUGCUGCUGUUAGGAGUUCUAAAGGCAGUAAAGUUGGGUCCUUGAAGUGCUGUCAGUAAUCAUUUUUAUGGUGGUCAGAUUGCUCAUUAGCACACUUGUUUUCAGAUAUUUAAGCUGGAAAGAAAUCUAUAGUCCUUGCAUUUUUAACUUGAUAACCACUCAAUAGAACAAAUAGAGUUGGAAAUUAGAGCAGAGCUGGGCUGGAAGAAAUAGUCCUGAAUGCUCACCUUUUACCCCAAAGGUCUAUGGAGACAAUUGCUUUGAGAACACAGCUUGGGGGAGCACAUGCAUUCCCAGCCUACCGAGAGGUAAUAACAGCUCAGGUUUACAGUGGUGAUUAGCCAGUAGGAUGGGACCUGGAGGUAGUCCUAAAAUAGGUAUAUUGAAAGCUUCUGCUCUGAGUCUGGGUGAAAAACAAGGACUGGAUUGGAGCUGGACAUGAAGCAAAAGAAACAGCCCAAGAAAUCCUAACCGAUGGUUCCCAGAACCUGGAGGCAACUGGGUGGAUUCAGAGCAGUGCUGGAGUGGCUUUUCUUGAAGUCCUAUUUCCCAGGCAGGGCUGUGAAUGGCCCUUGAGCACAUGAUGGGGUCUGGGGUCUGGGCAGCUGGUUGGGAACUGCUCUGAGUCCUGGUGCACAGUGUGGGAGGUGUCCUGGGGGGGUCUGCAUUUCAUGCUGGCUGUGGUGUCAGAGAGAGUGAGGAAAGCCAUAGGGAAGAGGAAUGUCGAAGUAGGCAGCUGUGGUGGGAAAAUAAUGCUUCUUUCCUGAAGUAGUGACCCAUUCCUGGACCAUGGCCUUUCUGCCCUACCAGCGAUGCGUUUGGGGGCACCCAUCAGAGAAGCAGCAGCCUGGCACCUGGUGCUCACCUCCAUCUCCCAGAGUGUUCCCUUCCAUCCCGAGCACAGCUCAGCUGCAGUAUCCCCCACCACACCUUUAGUUUAGGCAAUAAAACAGCAAAGGGUUGGAGGAUUGGUUGGGAUUUUUUUGUUUCUGUAAAGCAUUUUGGGAUUCAGUGGAAGGCAAGGUGCUGUGCAGAUGUAAGCUCGUUAGAAGGUCAUUAUCAUUAUUCACCUGCUGUGUCUGUCUGUCUCUCUAAAUGGCUUUAGCUGUCAGCCUAUUUAUCCAUGUUCCCCUCUUCCUAUUAUUAUAUGGUAAGACAUUGCCUCUGCUCCUAGCCCCCCUAAGGCCCUCCCUCCCCAUUUCCCAUGCCAACAGCACUGUGCUUUGUCUGAUGGGAGUUCAAGGAGCCCAAGGCCAGACUGCCCCGUCCUCCAUCCGUCCUGUGCUGCUGGGGGAACUGGAGGUGUUCCUGCAGCCCUGGAUGCAAAGAGGGUGCCCAGAGUGUGCUCCCCCCACAGCCAGCCCUCAUCUGUCCCCGUGCAUCCCCUGUGUGCUCCGGUGCUGCUGUGUAGCAGCGUUGAUCAGUGGAGAUAAUUAAUAUGAGGAAGUAGAAAAUUUUGUCUUGGGCUUAUUACAGACUCUAACCCUAUUAGGCAGGCCAUUUGGAGUCCAGGGAGGGCUGUUUCUUUCCAGAAGAGAUUGCAAGUGGAUUGAGUUCCAUUAUGUUCCUAAUUAAAAGGAAUGAAAUAAAAGAAAAAAAAUAAAUAAAGAAGGGAAGGAAAAGAAGCGAUGGAGCUUUGUGACACUUUGGGAGGAAAUUAAAGCCUCGUAGGUGUUUUCCACUGAUGCACUCACGUGCACUGCCUUGGUGCUUUCUGCUUCCCUCUUCCAUCGCCAACCCAUAUGCGGAGCCCCAGUUCUCCUGGCCCAAGAGUGGGAGGGCCAGGAUAGGGCCGAAGGGGCAGCAAUGGGGCUGAGCAUUGGGAUGAUGCGAUGGGAGCCGGGCAGGGAUGGAUGCUGGGCAGAGGCAGAGAGCUGCAGGCUGGGAGAGCCGUGGUGCACAGCGGGGUGUGGGUGCAAUGGCUCUGCGAGGGAUUCUACAUCAAGGAGAGAUCCCACAUCAAGGCAGCGCCGUCGGGCUCCCAGGAGCGCUAUCGCUUGCCCAAAGGGCUCGGAGCACUUACUUAUUUUGUAAUGCGGCCCCUCAGCCUGUGAUGUGCCAGACGUGGCGUGUCUAAGAAGCCGGGCUGUUCCUUAUCAGCCUCUCGCACUGUCUCAGAACCCUUCUGCUAAGUGUCUUUUGUCCCCUAAUAAACUGAUAAGCUGCUGGUAAUCCGCUGAUCGCUGAUAGGCAGGGCGGCCCUGCUCUCCCUCCCUGCACAGAUAAGGUGGCUCUUUGCCAGCGGGCAGCAGGUGAUACAGCUCAGCCCGCAGCAGGGAGCGGGUGGGCUCUGAGAGUGUGUGCCCCCCACCCCUGGCUCGUGUGAGGAGAGAGAACAGGACCGGGUUGGACUCUCCUGGGGGUUCUGCAUCACUUGGGCAGGCAGGUCCUGCAUCCGUCCUGCAGAGUGUGGGCGUCGUGUCCUGUUCCCAAAUGUGCAUCCUGGCCCUGCUGUUGGCUGCACAACGGUGCCAGGCUGGGGCAGGGAGUCCUGUGGCUGCCUGUGCUCCUGGAGGGAGACUGGAAAGAAAGGGAAGGUGGGAGGGAAGAGGAAAAAAGGCAUGCGUUUCCUCCUCUUCCCUCUCUGUUGCAGCACUCUUGCUCUCCGCUGUCAGGAGAUGGGCAGGAGGGAGGAGCGCAGCACCCUUUUGGUGUUAAUUAUCUACGAAGCCAUGCAGCUGUGGUGCACACAGCUCCGGUGCUGGGGCUGCUGCCACCUUUGCACCUGCCCUGUGCUGUGCAGGAGUAAAGCCCUCUCCCACUUCCCUGCAUCCAUAGCAGCACAGGGCUGCAAUGCAGCACCGCUUCCCUUGGGCUCCCCAUCCCAGCAAACAGCUGCGAGCCUGCGUGAGCCGUGGGGCUGUGGGACAGCCCAGCUCCAGAGGGGGAUCACUUCCUUCCCAGCACUCACAUCACUGCUAUUUAAUUUGCCAGGCGAUACGGUGGAAGGGAACGAAGUGCUGCAUUUUGUAUUUUUACUUCCUCGUCAACGUUCUCCUUGGGGGAAGCUGAUCUUUGGCCUGUUGCGGCCACAGCCCUUGUUUAGCAGAGUUUGGGCUUGUUCUGACUAUUUCUUGCUGUGGAAAACAACUCAUUAGCACGAGGCAUGCCGGAGCUCUGGAGACUCUCCUAUUUUCCUUCUAUUUUUGCACAGCGCAAGGAUGGUGUGAGCAUCUCUACCCUGGCACCAGGCAGCAUUUUGGGCUCACCCCCGUGUCCUUCUCCCCUGCUCACGUGUUUUAGUGCUAACACUGCCUACUCUAUAACAUAAACUUAUGGGCUGGGGGCAUAAAAUCCAAAGCAGGAUCCACGUCUCCUCCCCGCCUCCUCCCCCUAAUUGCGUGCAUUUAUGUAUCUGUUUGCUGCUGCUGGAGCGAGCGGGCUCAGCCCUGCAACCUGCUGUGUGUGGGGACUGGAAAUGAGGGAUCAGGAAGAUGCUGACAGCCUGCUUGCGAAGGCUUGAUCAAUCAGUAUGUAAUAGAAAAACGGCUUUGGCUCUACGGGGAGAAGGAAGCAAAGGAUUUGAUUAAAAAGUCAGACUGCGGCUGGUUGGAAGGGACAUCUCUUGGAGGCGGAUGAAUCAUCAGGUAGUUACAGCACAGGGGUUUGGCUUGAGAGCAAAGUGGGGGGAACUGCCUUCCUCCCUCUGCUCGGCAUCCUGAAUUGAUAUAGAGCGGCCGUGGGGCUCCGCUACUGCCCGUGAGCUGUUUGGGAUGGAGCAGUGCCAGGUUCCUCACUCAGGCAGCACCAUGCCUGCCCUGCUGGCAUUUGACAUGGGUGAACAUGCACUAAAUAAUCGGCAGCCUAUCGAUCCGAGGUCACCCAUGCCAAAGCGUGAUCGAUGGGAACAGACAGCUGAGUGGUUCUGUAAUGAAGUGCCUUCACCUUAGUGGAUUUGGGAGAGAGAAAGGGUAUGGGAGAUUAAAUCCUCCUGCCAUCGACAGCUCAUCAAGCAAAAGACGUAUUAGUGAGGAGCAGUCAUGCUUCCUGAGCCCUGAUGGGAGGAACUGAACUGCUGGGAAUUGUUUGUGCUCUUUGGGGGAACAUCAGCCAGGAGUGCAGCCCCACUGCCUCCCAGCACCCCGCUCAUGGCUGCAGCUGGCAGGGGGUGUCCCAGGCAGCAGUAAAGCUUUGAGUGCUUUGGAGGAAUUAGGGAAUCCGGGAGGGGUGCACCCAGGAUACAGUUGGCUUUCUGUGCUGUGAGGGCACAGUGCUGGCUCAUCCCCAGCUGCCACCCAUCAGUACCCCCAGACCCUUUUUGGCAGGGCUGUGCUCCAUCCUUACACCCCCAGCUUGUACUGACACUGCGGGUUACCAUGACCCUUGCACUUGGCUUUGUUGAACCUCACGAGGUUCUCCUCACUGCGCUGCCUGUCUGUGUCUCUCUGGAUGGCAUCCAGAAUUUGCCAUGGCUGCUGCAGCCCUGCUGGCCGAAGGGCUGAUGUGGGUCUGACAACCGGCAGCCACCGAUGGGCUGUGGCUGGCAAUGAGGGGCAUCAACUGCAACCUGAUGGCACUGAGGAGCCCUGGAGCUGCUGGGAGUUGUGCCAUGCUCCCAGACCCCCCAGCCCUAUGUGCAGAGGAAGGCAAUGGGAGCUGAGGUGGGACCUGGCAGCUGCCACGUGAAGUGUACUGAAGCUGUGGGGUGGAGAAAUGGAAGGCGUGGGGUUGGAUCCUGCAUCUCCAGCCAACCGUGUUGCCUGGCAAGCAGCACAGAAAGCGAAUAACACUUAAACCCGUGCAGGCCUGGGGUGACAGCAGUGCUCCGACAUCUCCUCCACCCAUUUUUCAAGACAAACUUUCCUCCGUGAUCCACACACAGCUUUAUUGAGCUCUAUUUCCUCCAGUCUAACUACAGAAAGAAAUUGGCAGCAAGCGCUCUCGCGGGCAGCGUGGAACGGCAGCGGCGGCUGUCAGGGCUCCGGGGGCUUUAUUGCCCUGCCAAACACCUACAUCAUGGUGACACUUACAUAAUUACAUAUCGGACCGGCGAGGAUGAAGCGCCCAGCACCUCCUAAACGUGUCAACAUGAUUUGAGAGGUUUGGGUUUGGCUGGACUUCGUAGGCAUUAGAUUUCAGACUCCAAUCACACGGGCAUCCGGAGGAUCAAUAGCUGAGCACUGCGUGGCAGCUGGCUGCAAGGUGAGGGAGAGCAGCUCCGGGCGUCAGCGUGGCCGGUUAAGGUGAUGGAUGAGUUGGGUUUGGGUUUGGUCGCUCCUCCUCCUGCUGGGUCUUGUUCUGCCCUGCUGCAAAGAGGAAAUCUCAUGGGGAGACUCUGCAUCCUCACCCCGUGCCAGCAGUGCAGCUUCAUCAUGGAUGCUCUGUGACCCUCAUUAUGCAGCAGAGCACUUCCCAGCUUUACCAGUAAUCCCACUCUCAGCUCCAGCCACGUCACUCCGUGCUGGCAGCAAAUAGGUUUAGGGAAGAGAAAGCCGCUGUGACGCAGAUGUCUGCGGGCUGAGCUCCCUCUGACAGCACACGUGGAGGCUCUGACGGCGCUGCACCGCUGUCGGUGUGGGAAUGGGAUUUGGGGCCCUUCUGUGGCUUCUCACUGAUGUUGCGUGAGAUGGAGAUGCUCUGCUUUGGGCAAAUCUGCCCUUGCUGUGUGCUGUAUGAGUGCCCUUGAGAAAUGUGGGGGAAAUCACAGCAAUUUGGGUGAUUGAGUUUGGGUGGGUUAGGAAAGAACAGCGGAAUGCCUCAGACCAAAGCUGAAAUUGGGGAUUUUCUUGCAGACUCAUUGGCUUGAACUCCUUUCGUGAAGAGCUGAGGUUGUUGCACUUGUUGGCACCCUCAGCUCUAACCAGUGACAUGUGACACGUGGGACCUCUUAGUAACCGCAUUUAAUUAAGUCAAUUUCAUUUAGUUAAUUAAAGCAUCCACUGAUUGCUUGUUAACCCUGCACACACGGCUUCUGGGCAGCCCUGCUGCCCGCUCCUUUGGCCCUCUCUGUCAUCGGCCUUUGUCCUCUGCUGUCCCUCAGAUGAUGACAACCAGCCCUGACUUUGCCAUCGUGGGUCUCCUCCUUGCUGCCUCCAAAGGACCGUGGUCCCUUUUUCCAUUAGGAAAGCAGCGUGUGCACACAGGUGACCCAGCUCUGCCCUGGCCACAUCUCACCCAGCUCCUUCAAAUUAAUUUCCCUGAUGGAGAAGCUCAGCAUCCCGCUGUCGUGCCUUCCAAUUCACACUCAGAUCAGCGCAGUGCUGGACCCACUUUGCAGCGAGCUUUGCAGCACCCGCCUGCAUUACCCAGCGCAACUUAAGGGGAAAACACCUGCAAACAAAUUGAACGUUCCUAAGUGCAAAUUGGUUUUACAAUUGCUCGAGAUUUAAAGUGCCACUGCAGCAAAACGAUGUUAUUUUUGGGGGGGGCAGAUGUCUUUGGAAUACAGGUUGGUUGGAUUUGUCCUGUUGGAAGGGUUGGGUUCAGCCCAGCUCUUGGUGGGUUGGUCCAUUGGGAUGCGCUGGGCUGCGGCACAUGGGCUGACCCCAGAACUGUCCCCAGUGGAGAUAAUCUGAUGGGUAGCGACGCUGCAGUGCUGUGCGAGGCUCUGUGCAGAGUUCAGCACUGCUCCAAACUUCCUCUUCUCCUCUGCGUGCUCUCUGCAGUCUUCAUUUCCACUAAAUCACCUCAAUUGGUUUCGCUCAGCGGUUGGAAAGCCAUGCUUGGAAUAUAAUGGUUGAUCUUUUAUGACAUUUACCGCCACUCAUGUCAGCGCGCGCGCCUGGUUAAUUCACUUGUUGCUAUGCCAUCCAUCAAUCACCAUAAAUGUUAUAACAGCAAUCUGUCACCGGGGGGGCACGCGUGGGGAGGUGUGCGAGGCGCAUUGGAUGGGGCUUGGGAAAUGAGUGACCCCUCCAUGUACUGGGGGGGAGUUGCCUGGAUCUGAGCAGUGCUGUGUGCUGUCCGUCCCAGUGCUGGGGCACGGGGUUUGUGCAGCAGCACAGUGCUCUCGCAGAUCGUUCUGCUGCUUGUCCCCUCACCCAGCAAGCUGUCCCCCUUCUUUUGGGGCGGGAGAGGCUUUGCGUGAGAUUUCAGACAGUGAAAACGUGGCUUAGUGGCAGUUUGCAUUCCCAACAGCCGGUGUAACAGCAGCCAUCAACAGCUAUGAGCCCGGCAGCAAAGCAGAUGAAGACAAAGUAGCCUCAGGUCUCACUUGUUGCCCUUUGCAAGUAAUUAUAUUAAUACACCUGUGAGCUCAUGUAAUAACAGAGAUGAGAUCUCCGCGACGCCCUGUUUGGGUGAAGGCAGGCUUGCGGGAGGUGUCUGAGAUUGCUUUCCCUGUGAAGAAACAGCAUUUUGAUUGAUCUCUCGGCAAAGAUAUGAAAACGCUCCGACUCGGUGCCACAUUUCCUUUUCGCUGUGACAUUUUGCAGGAGGGAACGAAUGGCACGCAGCCGUUCCCACGGUCCGGGUGACAUUACCAACAGCUCAGCAUCUCCUGCAGCACCAGCCGUGCUGGAGGGCUGACCCCCAAUGGAUGCUGGUGCUGAGCUAUGUGGGGCAGGGAUGGUCCUGGCUGUGGGUGAUGGCAGGUGAGCUGCUGGAGAUGGGUCAAGGCAUGCGUCAGAGCACAGCAUGGCAGUACCCCCCUGCAUCUGCUCCUCGUGACUUCAACACGGAAAGUGUUUUAGAUGCUCCUUUCCCUCCCUGCGUGGAGUUGAUGGCAACUCUAGUUAAAAGCUGAGAUGCUCAUGAAACACUUAUCGCCCCAAAGCUGUGUCUGCACUGCUCUCUGUUGCAGGUGAGGGGAUGGGAUCUCUUUGGGUCCUGUACUUUGGGAACCAGCAGGCAUUCUCCUUCCUCCACCAACCCCUGUGUGUGUGACUUAUUGGCCUCAAUGGAUCCCAGUUUCCACGUCUGUAAAAUGGCGUGACAUUUUCCUCCCAUGCGCUGAGGCUUUGCUUGCUCCUCUGGCCCCGCUUGGCUUUUAUUCUCCUCCCUGUAGAAGUGCUCAAAGGUGCUGGCCCACAUCAGGAGCUAAUGGGCAGCAUGCUCAGUGAGCAGGAACAGGGCUCUUCCUAUUAAACCAUGAGCACGCAGGCAGCUCUCCAUUCCCCCGUUCCUCCCCCAUAAUCCCUCCUCCUCGCUUCCCUCUCCACCAUCCCCGGCGAUGCUCAGCUCCAAACACCGUUGCAGCUGUGAGCAAAAGAAGCAGCAGUGCUGGGAACAGACCCUGCGAGAACUCAGCCCCAUGUUCCCUCUCUGCACCCCAACACUGCCCUUGCAAGCCGGGCAGCUGGGAGCUGAGCAUUGCCCUGGGAGGUGCUGGUUGGGUCCUACGUGCAGACGUGCAGCUUUGGGGCAGGACCAGGUGCUUUGUGCACUGUGGGUGUUCAAAGCAAAUCUGCAGCGCUCACAUCUGAGCAAUGGUCACCUGGUGAGAGAGAGGUGGUGGUGGUGGGCUCCAAUCUGGGGGCUCCAGUUCGGAGCUGGUUGCUGAAAGCCUUGAGCGUGAGGAUUUGUAGCAGAAAGGCUGCUGGAGCAGGAGCCUAGAGCAGGGUGAAUGGAGCUGCUCUAAUGGAUAUUAAGUGAUUUGCGAGCCCGCUGCUUGCAAACACAGCUGUAAAUAGAACAAAGGGAGGGGGUAGCAGAUGAAAGAGGCUCAGGCUCUUUAGCGGAGCAGUGUGAAAAAUGGGGAAAGGUUCCUGUGCAGGGCUCGGGCAGCGAGAGAAACAAAAGCCCCGGCAUCUAUUUUCAUAUCUUUUAUGUCUUCCUUGCACUUAAUCUUGUUUAGCUCUGCAAUUAAAUUUUAAGACGCAUAAGAGUGUUCGCUUACACACUUGGAUUCUUCGCAGAUUGAAUUAUUUAAUAGAGUGUGGAGCGGCUCCAUGAUCUCGGAGCUAUGGCACCAAAGGCAGCCAAGCAGAAAAUUAAUAAACACUGCCUGCCGUCUCCGCGCCUCCCGCGCUCCCCUCUGCAUCCUCCCUCUCCCUCUCCUGCUGCAGCCACCCCUCUGCUCCCAUCCCUUUCUGUUGGGGUUUCCUCUUUCCAUCCCACUGCCGUCUCCUCCCUCAGUUUUGCCACCUGCCCUUUCGCUGCUGUGGGAUCGAUGCUCUGUGCAUCUCAUCCUUGCAGCUCAAUGCCUGUGCACGUGUUCACUGUGAUUCGGGUCAUGCUGGGGAACACCCCAUGCCAGCAGUGGGGUUGGGUGGGAUCGGGCUGUGCCACUCUGUAAUUGCAUUCCUUGGCCCAGAAUAAAUCUCAUCUCAAAUGCUGCUGGAAUUCUCUCUCUCCUCCUUCAUUCUCCAGCCACCAAAGUUGAUCUUCUCUCCCCUCCUUUUUUUUUUCUUUUUUUUUUUCCAGUAACCUUUCCAGGCAACAAAUUGCAGGGGGCAAUUACGCUGUUUGCUAAAGAGAGCAUUAAGCCAGCCACAAUUUCCAUAGAGGAUAUUGUGCAGCAAACUGAUACAAAAGCAGUCUAUGAAAUACAUCAAAUUGCCUGUUGGAUAAAGGCAUGCAUUUACAAUGCACUCGGAGCCCUUAUGAAUUAUCUGAAGAGAAAUCCGUUUGUUAUUUUUCUUGCUCUUAAGAAUCCCCAUUUUAAGUGGAACCAAAUAAAAAGGCAGGAAAAUUACCACUAGAGGAAAAGACUGGCCACUCCUUUGUGGGAGGUGAUGGUGGCUUCCCUCUGUUGAUUAUUGAAGGCAAUGUGUUUUGAGUUUGAUGGUUUUCAGUGCAAGUCUUCAUUGGUAUCUUUGUAGAAUCAUAGAAUCAUAGAAUGUUUGGGUUGGAAGGGUCCUUAAAGAUCAUAUUUCCAUGGAGUGGUUGGGUUGGAAGGGACCUUAAAGAUCACAGAACCAUGGGAUGGUUGGGUUGGAAGGGACCUUAAAGAUCAUAGAACCAUGGGAUGGUUGGGUUGGAAGGGACCUUAAAGCCCUGCCUCUGCUGUAAAAUGGGUGCCCCCCCUCCCAGCUUGGCCUUGGGCACCUCCAGGGAUGGGACACCCAUAGCUUCUCUGGGUAAUCUGUUCCACAGAGCCUCCUCUCCUGGUUGCUGCCCUUCAUGCUGAGUGGGAUGGCUGCUGAUAUAGCGCCUAUGGGGCAAACCAAAGCUCUGGCUGAUAAAACUCUGUGAGUUAAGCAGACUCCUACACCCCAGCCCCGUGCCCAAUGUAUUCCAAGCCAUCCACCACCUCCUGGCUCAAAUCAAGAUUAUUUUUCAUCCUUUUCAGGGUUUUCUAUUUUUUCUGAAGCUGGACCCCACUCCACCCCAAAUCCUUUAGCAGCAGGGAGUGCCUGGAGCUGUGGGGUUGGGCAGUGAUUCUCGCCUGGCUCCGCUGCAGGAUGGAAAUAGUACUCGUGGAAUUGAAAUUCUGGAGGGAAUGACAGGGACACAGCAGAGAAGCAGCUAAAACACCUCUCUAAUUGCUAAUCAAUACCUUAAAGAAAUGUUGCCCUAGCUGAAAUCUGCUCCCAGGGAAAAAAAAAAAAAAAAAUCUACACGAUUUGUUCCAUGAUUGGAAUGAGAUUUUAUUGGUCUGGUUUCUGCUGUUUUGGGGGCAUUUUUCUUCUUGUUUUUUUGUUGUUUGUUUUUCUUGUCCCUCCACCCCAUUACGCUCAGGUUUUAUGAAGUCAUCACCCAUUCGUCGGCUCAAAACCUCCGUGAGAAACUCUUGGCUCCGCAGACAGACCAACACUAAUCUUCUGUGUAAUUGAAUCAUCAUUGUGGAUAUUCUUUGGCUGCUUCGAAACAGUUCUGUUUCUCGAGUAAUGCUUUUAUUAGCUUUUGGUGCUGUUGUGUUGCUUUUUUUUUUUUUUUUUUCCUUUUCUGUAGUAAUAUUAUUUUCUUGCUUUCAGAUGCUGUCUACAGCGUGGCUCUUUAUUGAUGUGUUACGAGGAUUUCUGUCUUACUUUUAAAAAGAAAACAAAAAAUCCAGCACAGGCGUAUAGAGCAGAGGUUGCUGUCUCUCCAAGGACGAACAAUUAAGGAACAUGACCAAGGGGAAUUUUCCUGGGCUUGGCUGUUCUCAAUCUCCUCAACCACACAUUUGCAGUUCAGUGGGUCGAUAACCAUUCCUUGGGCUUCUCUCCAUCCCUCCGUGCUGGGAAGGAGAACACAUGGCUGCUCCCUUGUGCAAGGCCUUUGACAUGGUCUGACACCUCACGCUAAGUUGGAGAGAUGGAUUUGAAGGCUGGACUGUUGGUUGGAGGAGGACUUGGUUGGGUGGUCAUAAUCAGAGUCGUUAUCAAUGGCUCUAUGUGUGGGUGGAGGUUGGUGAGGAGUGGUGUCCCCCAGAGGUCUAUCCUGGGACUCGUGCUCUGCAGUGACAUAGACAGUGGAACCAAGUCCACCCACAGCAACUUUACUGAUGACAUCAAGCUGAGGGGUGCAGUUGAUACAACAGAAAGAAGGGACGCCAUCCAGAGGGACCUGGACAGGUUUGAGAAGUGGGCCCAAAAGAGCCAAAUGAGGUUCUGCAAGGCCAAGGUGUUCCACCUGGGUUGGGGCAAUCAUGGAUGUCUUCAGGUGCUAGGAAAAAAAAAUUCUUUACUCAGAGGGGUUGAGGUGCUGGCACUGCUGCCCAGAGCUGUGGGUUCCCCAUCCCUGGAGGUGCCAAAGGGCAUCCCUGGUCUGAUCUUGUGAGGGGCAUCCAGCGGGGGUUUGAGACUCAGUGGUUGUAGAGGUCCCUUCCAACCUAAACCAUUCCACGAUUCUAUGAUUCCCAUCCCUGUGGCUCCCAUAAACCUCUCCUAAAACACAGCUGCAACCCAAAGCAGGGCUUGUCCAGGACUGGGUGAUUCCAACACCAGUUCUCCUGCUGUUGGGACUGCUUCUGCAUAAGAAGAGAGCCCAGAUCCACAUGUUGUGCUGGGACACACAGACGGUUUGUGAUGGCUUGGAGAGAAGAGUGAGGAAGGAGCAGGGGAGGCUCGGGCUGAGCUGGGGCCCCAGGAGGGAUUUGUGGGAUCCUGCAAUUGCCUGAAUUCAUUUCAAUUAUUGGCGGCGCUUCUCUACAGCACUAAAUAAAGUAAAAUAAAUACAGAAAGCAGAAGGCAAUAUAAAGCAGUUAGAGAGGAUCAGUGGUGAACUGAAUAAUUCAUUCAGGAGAGAAAAAGAGCUAUUUGCUAUGUCAUUCUUAUCUUGAUUGUAUUUAUAGACAGGAACUUUUGACAAGGAAAUUACCUGUAAAUUCUUCUUCUUUUAUUUUUUUAUCCAUCCAUCCAUCCAUCCAUCCAUCCAUCCAUCCAUCCAUCCAUCCAUCCAUCCAUCCAUCCCAGCAAAUAAUCAGCAGGAAGACUUAUUGCAGGGUUUAUUUUCUUCUUCCUGAGGCAGUUUGAUGGAAUUGUAUGAAGAACACAAAAUCUCACGACCUCACUCUGAGCCCAUUGGAAGCUGCUGCUGUGAUAGAAAGCGAGAUAACGUUGGGUGGGAACUCAGGAGGGUGAGCAGCAGCGUUCCCCAGUGCCUCCAAGCAGGGAUGGAAGUCACACAUUUGUGUUUCCUAAGCUGCUGUGCACUGUAUUCAGAGCAAAGGCUGAGACUAUGAUGCUGCUCUGAGCUUCUGCCUCUCACCAGUGUUGAUGUGGGGUCUGUCCUUGCAAAUGGGUGUUCUGCAGCUUUGGGGACGAUGAGCGACAGGAGAAGGACACACUGAGUGCCUCUGUGAGCACGGCUUCAGCACCUGCCAGAAGUGUCACUUUAUUCCUCAAGACUUUAUUUGGUGUGAAAGAUGGCUCAAGAAAAAAUGUAUCCCUACUGAGUUUAUUUGGCAGAGGGACACCGGGGGGCUACAGAAGUUUAUUUACUGCUCUCAUGCUGCAUAUUUGCUCAUUGUUUAUUGAUUGGGAGAGAGAUGGGGCCACAGGAGAGGGCUUUGCCCCCUGGUCCCCCCCAGAGGGGGUCAGCCCCCCAAGAACUGCCCAUGUGCUGAGAUCUGCUCCUGCUGCUGGUGCUUCAAUAGCAUCCAUCAAACCCACGGUGCAGUGGGCUGAGUUCUGUGCAGAGCAGCAGGGAUGGCUCUGCUGUCCUGGAGGCUCUUUGGGGUCACUCUUUGCUUUCUCACCCCACAACGCAACCCUGGAGAGACCUCACAGAAAUUCACCCUGGAGAAACCACUGUUCCUACAGAAGCCCUGCUUCUGCUUCCUAAUAGACAUCGAUGUAAUUUGUUUUCUGAGCAGCAUUGGGGAAAUGUGCAUUGCUCGCCGAACCUCCCAUUUGCAUUGAAGGAAGUCAUAAUUUGAGCGAAGCGUGAAACACUCACGGCAAACUUCUUGUCUCUGUGAGCGCACUGGAGCUCAGCCUCGUGUAUAAUUGAGUUGUUAUAAUGAAGUCUGGGUUUGGUUCUUCAA